GAAUGGACCAGUGCAGAUGCACAGUCCUUAAAAUGGGAAGAGGAGGAGCCUGAGGAGUCUGUGAUAACUGACGAGGUCAGAGAACUGCAUCGGGAAGGUCUGAGCUAGGACUGAAAACGGAAUGUGUCAUAAACUAAGAAGUCAAGUGUCCUCUGAGCCAAGUCAGAAGUGGAUUGGGCUGAAUGUCCCCCAGAAGGCAUGAAGCCUAGUCAUGACUUUAGCUGGUGACAUCUGUCUCAGAGCCUGUACUCCAGAAAGUAAGCAAAAAUCUCUACACAGCCAUGAAAUGCCAUCUGCUCGAAACCACACAGACCAGCACACCAUGUUUCUCUGAGGUAGGAUGCAUCAUGGGUACAUUUUCUGUCUUAUGCACUUUUGUUCUUUUCGAUUUAUCUAGAAUUUAAUGCUAAACACUAUUUUGGGGGCUAAUGAAGUGGUCAACUUGAAAAGACAGUUGCCAACACAUUUAACAACCUGAGUUCAAUCCCUUGGACCCAUGUGGUAGAAGGCAAGAACAAACUCUGUCUGCUGUCCUCUGAUGGAUCCAUGCAAGCUGUGGCAGCAGUUAGAAAGUGGACAAAUAAAUUGGAGGUGGAUCUGGGAGAGUAGAUCAGACUUCAGUGGGAGAGACAAAGAUGACGAUGUUAUUGUAACAAUUCCCAAAAGAACUUGUGGACUGUAAUUGGUAAAACAGCCCAGGCAGAAGCUGAAAUACCUGUGAGUGGCACUACAGAAGCUUGCAUCUAGCUAAUGAGAGAAUGACAAGACAAAGAACCAGUCCUGCCCAGCUAGGCUCUGAGUCAAAGAGGAACUUUCCUCACUAGCAGAAACAGAAACCCAAGGAAGCCAUGCUGUGCCUGCCUGUGCCUCAUGAAGAGUCCUAGCUGUAUCAACGUAAUGCAGAUUGCAUCAGUCACCUUUCUAUCACCCUGAGACAGUCAAAGGAGCAAAGAUUAAUUUUGCCUCAUGGUAUAGAGGCUUUGAUUUGGGCCUCUGAUCACUUAUUCGGUUGUCCGUGUUCCAGAGCAUCGGUGGAGGAAUCCUGCCCACUUUGUGGUUGCUAGGAAGCACAGAGAAAGACACAGGAAAGAAGGCACUGGAACAAGAGAGGCCAUUCAAGGAACAACCCCUGUGACCUACCUCGUAGCCACCUCUACCAACAGCCCAUCCAGUUAUCAAUCAGUGUCCACUGAUGAAACGGGAGCUCCUCAAAGCCCAUUGCUUCCCAAAGGACAAGAACUGAUGAAGAAAUGUUGAUGGCAUCACUGAGACAGUGCUCCGCUGCUAACCUGUCCAUCAUCCUACAGUGCAAAUGUCCUGCUGUUUAUACCACACCAGCUAGCACAUUCUGUGGGUCGCAACCCAAACAUUCACUCUGCUGAGCAGGUCCUGCACUGUUUCCUUGUUCUGUUGCUGCACCUAAAAGCCUGGUGGAAGGAUCUUAAGGGAUGGAGGGCUGACGGUUGCCCACAGCCGAGGAAAGGAGUGGAGUAGGAUCCUGAGGCAGUUGCUCACGCUGUGUACAUGAGCAUCAGGAAGGAAGACAAAAGCUGCUGCUCAGCCUUUCCUGGUCUGGGACUCCAGCCCAUGGGAUCCUGCUGCCUAUAAUCAAGAUGGGUCUUCGCAUCUGAAUGAACUUAAUCUAUAUGACCACUCGCAGACAUGCUCACGGGUGAUUCUAGAUUCUAGGGUCUAGAACCUUUCGAGUUGACAGUAUGAACCAUCACACAUAUCAAAUUUGUUUGAUUAAAAGAACAUUUGCCCAAAACAAGAGUCUUAAUCAUAAUUUUUUUAAAGAAAAGUGUUUGUGUUUGUGUCACAUCCUGUGCCUUUGUGCAAUGCAUAAUCUUCCUGGUUAUUGAAGCAAGCGGAAAAGGGGCCAACUACACCAUUCAUGGUUUUUGUCAAGUACAUGAGCAUAUCAAGUGUAUCUUCCUACAGGGCAUUCAGAUUCGGCACUUCAGAUGGACUGGGCAAUUUUCAAGGCAAGCUGCAUCUUUCUUUUUAGCAUUCUCGAAAUUGUACCUAAACGGCAGGUUCUCUCCACUUUGAAUGAAGAAUCUAGACUUCAGUGAGUUAAAGUGUCUCACCUGUAAAACCUGCCAGUCAUGGUGAUAUGGGUAUAACGAUUGCUUUAUGAACCCUGUGUUUUUAUAAAUGGAAAAGGAAUUGAAAUGACAAGUGCCCAGCUAGGAGAGGAGUUCCUCAGAACCAGUUCAGGAGAAACAGACUUCACCCUUUGUUGGCUGCAGUGUCUCUGUAUCUGAUAGUCAGUUUUGAACACAACAGUGAAACAUACCAAAGGCUCAGAGACAGAAACCAAGGUUCACAUCUUAAUUCCAGUCCUGAAAAUCCAAAGCCAACACCAUCAAAGCGUGGCAGCUGGACUGGUUCCUGGCAGUCAUUUUUCUUUUUCCCAUGCUCUGACCCAUCAGGUUUCGGCCAGGCUCCGGUGGCCUCUAGCCUGUUUUGUGACUGGUGUUUAAACUACUUCCUUUUCACCAGGUUUCCUGUGAGCUAUCAAAUACUUCUAAUUCCUUGGCCUCUGUGCUUCCUGCCAAUUCUCAGGGGCUUUGGUGAACUCUCUCAGACCCCCCAUCCUGCUCAGUCUGUGCUCGGCAGCACAUCCUGUUUCUAAGAACCUACACAAACUGUUCCCAGCAAGAGGCAAGAGGAGCCUUGAGGAGCUUGCUCAUCCUCUGAAUUACCCAACCCUCCUCCCUGCUCUCACUUCUCCCCCCUCCUCCUCUUCUUUCUCCUCUCCAUUCUGCUCUCCCUUACCCUUCUCUUUGCAUAAUGUCUAGCUCAUUUAAAGGUGGCCUUGGCGAUUUAAUCCUUCCUCCAUGAUUCAUUGUGAAAAACUGAUAACCCACAUUUCAAACUUUCUAUUCUGUUCAUUUGGAAUGCUUAUUUUUUAAAAAUUGCACUCCAGAUUGAAAGCUUUCUGAAAGUGACUUGAAUCAGCCCAGUUUCCUGUGUGUUUCCUGUGUACCCAAGAACUCAUCAGACUCCUGCUUUCUCAUAUCUUACCACAAUGCCAUCUGAGGGCUGGUGGAGAACCCACCAUGCCAAGGUCAAUCACAGUGCCCAGCCCAGGAACAGUAGGUACCUAGCAAUUCCAUAGGGGAAGAAAGAAAAAGUUACCUAGUUAAAUUUUUCCUUUCUCAUCAGAGAGGUUUGUCUCUGAUGGUUUGCUAUAGAGACAAACUCGAAACAUGGACUUUCUCACCGCCUGCACCAUCGUAGAGAGCUAUGCUCAGAUGUGCUUCCUGUGUGCUUCCCUAAAUCAUAAACACAGUUCACAGUGUGAGCUUAUUGACCUAGAUUAGCGUCUUGAUUAGAUCCAUGAAUGCCCUUUUCCUUCUUUUGCAUUUACUUUCUUGGCUCCACAGGAAGCAAGCUUCAUCUAUUACCCAUAGUGUUCUCACUUCCUGAUGUGCAUGACUGUCUUCUGACUGCUCCCUUUAAUUUGGAUCACAGUUAUUACAGUAAUCAAAGCACGUUUCCUGACUUCAGUGAUUAAAUCUCACUUGUGAUUUUUCUUUUUAGAUGUAUUUUAUUGUAUGUGUAUGAUAGUUUGCCUGCAUGUUAUCUGUGUACCAUAUGUGUGUGGUAACUAUGGAGGUCAGAAGACAGUAUCAGGUUCUCUAGAACUAGUUACUGAUGAUUGUGAGCUGUAUGUGGGUGCUGGGAAUUGAACUCAGGUCCUUUGCAAGAACAGCAAGUGUUCUUAACUGUGGAUCCAUCUCUCCUGUCCAUUUCCCUGGUUUCUUGGAGGUUGGCCCAUAGCAGGUCCUAAUCCAAUGCAGUGACAUGAGUUAAUUAAUUACAUGAACCAGCAUAUAGCCAUGCCAGGCUCUAAGCCUUCUCUAGCUAUGGUCGAGAAAGAUUACACUAUUCUAUACGUUAUGUGAGUUACAGUCUGAAGACCAACACUCUAGAUCUUGCUUAAAGCUUGUUAAGUUAGGGUAUCAUCUAUACCAAAAUCUGCCUUUAACCACCUUGCUAGAGUGAUUCACGCACAUAAUAAAGACAUUUAAAUGUUGACAUAAUCAUGAACUGUUUCAGAUAACAUGACUAAUAUCUCUUCUAAGAAAAUAUUUUCUAUGUCCAUUUCCUGGAACAAAUGUCUAAGUACCACACUAUAGACAGACCAAAUCCUUAGGAGUGAACAUAGCCCUGGCUUAGGACCAAACCUGGAAUCCCACUGUAGAUUCAGUUACCAGGAAUCCACCAUUAUUGGCCAAGCUGCCCACCCAGCUAUGAGGACACGAAUGACUAGUGGAGCAGACAUGGAGGAAGGAAACCGAAAUGGCAGAAAGCACAGGGUGGAAUGGGUGCAUCCUUGAUGACUUCCCAUAAUGAUUCAGCAAAUAAAGAGAAGAUUAAUCAAAAAUGAAUCAGCUCCCCAUUCAAUGAAUACAGUCCCUCAGGAAAUAAUUGCUGAACACCAAGUAUGUGUCAUGGGGUGAGUUGUGCCAGACCUGCAGCAAGGAGAGUGGCUAAAGUUUUCUUUUCUUUCAAUUUACAUUCUAUUGGAUGCGACAUAAAAUAA
rnacentral:sRNA from 1 species